GGGUCACGUGGCUCCAGCCACACCCACCUCCCUGCUGUUCCUCACCCAGGAUCACCAAGGUCUCUCCUACCCCGGGGCCUGUGCACCUGCUGUGCCUCUGCUUGGGGUGCUCUUCCCAGGGCUUGCCCACCUCCUCAGAGAGGCCUCCUGACCCCUGACACGGCCUUGCCCUUCACCUCUAUCGUCCUUUAGAACAGCCCCCACCUCCCGCACAUCAUGCAGUUGCAGGUUCAAUGGCUACUGCUUGUCCUCCAGACUCCUCUCCACAAGCCAACAGCUCUCUCCUGGCUUUGAUUUUCAACCAUUUAAGUUGAAAAAAAUUCAAAACAAAUGAAAUGCACUUAAGAGAAAGCCUUGAGGAGUUCAGCAGGCCACCCAAAGUGAAGGGACUCCUUUGGGGGUCUUUGUUGUUAUCAAUUAUUUAUUGAGCCCUGAUGUGUUCCUGGCGCCACCAAGACCGAAAGGAGACAGGGUCCCUGCCCUGGGGCAUCCCAACAAAGAAGGGAGAGUUUGUGAAGCUUAAAAAUGUCCCAGAUGGAUAGGCCUCAUCACUCCUCAGAUGAUUCUCGAAGGAUAACACACAGGCCAGUGGGCAGCCCUAGGCCAGGGGGAUUACCAAGACAUGAAGACUUUCUUUCUGUCUCAGCAACCUUCAUGCUUGGUCAAGCAAAGGUGUUGCUUAAGUCAAACCCAGGGCAGGGGAGAGCAGUUGAAGCAAAGUGAGUCUUUGGAGGCCCUGUGGUUGUGGGGUCUGGUGUGGAGACAGUGAGAACGGAAAAGGUGGGAGAGGAGCAGUCAACCCGUGAAUGGCCCCAUUCAGACGCCUUUACCUGGAAGACGUGGCAGGUCUACUGGGGUUCAUCCCAUCUGAGCCAGGCCUGGCUUUUCUUGGCUGCAAGCUGAGAGCUGGGUCCAGGUCUGCUGAACCAAGGUUCUCCCAUCUUCCUUGAGCCAGUGACAAUCAGAGGCCUAUUUCUUUCAUGACGGAAGGCAGGAGAACAAGCAGGCAAGACCAGCUGUGCUAGCACAUGGCACCCCUUUCCCACAUCACACCUGCUAACAUCCCAUUGUUCAAAGCAAGUAACACAACCAAACCCAAUAUCAACAGGACAAGAAAACAGACUCCACCUCUAGGUGCACAAACUACAGAGUCACGGACAGAGAACACAGAUCUAGGGAAGGAAGCUGGAGAAUGAGAACAAUGACCCUCAAUAACACAACCUCCCACAGGUUUCCAAAUCCCCAACCUGAGCAUAUUUCCAAGGAAACGGAAUCAUGGGUUCAGGGUUUUAGAGCAAGCAAUUUCUGCUCUCCCAGCUUAGUUUCCAUACCCUUAACACAGGGGCAAUGACGUCGCAUCGAAUCAUAUCUUAUAAGUCUGUGAUGAUGUUUCAACAACUGAACGCCAGAAAAGUGCUUAGAGCAAGGCCAGGUAGGAGGGACAGAAGCCAAUAAUAAUGAGUAGCAUCACUGUUAACCCGCAAAAUUCUGGGAAUUUCCUCGAAAGUCUAAUUAGAGAAUCAUGUCCCCAACAA
ensembl:lncRNA LINC00494 long intergenic non-protein coding RNA 494